UAGGGAAUUUUCGUCAAUGGGCGCAAGCCUGAACGAGCGAUGCCGCGUGAGUGAAGAAGGCCUUCGGGUCGUAAAGCUCUGUUGCGGGGGAAAAAAGGCAUCUGCAGGAAAUGGUAGAUGACAGAUGGUGCCCCACCAGAAAGUCACGGCUAACUACGUGCC
rnacentral:rRNA from 1 species